UACAGAGGGGGCCAGCGUUGCUCGGAAUCACUGGGCGUAAAGCGCACGUAGGCGGACUCUUAAGUCGGUGGUGAAAUCCUGGAGCUCAACUCCAGAACUGCCUUCGAUACUGAGAGUCUCGAGUCCGAGAGAGGUGAGUGGAACUGCGAGUGUAGAGGUGAAAUUCGUAGAUAUUCGCAAGAACACCAGUGGCGAAGGCGGCUCACUGGCUCGGUACUGACGCUGAGGUGCGAAAGCGUGGGGAGCAAACAGG
rnacentral:rRNA from 1 species